GGAAGAUGGCGGCGGCGCUGUUCCGCGGGCGGGUGGCCAUCGUUAUCGGCGGUGGCACCGGCAUCGGCAAGGCCAUCGCCGCCGACUUGCUGGCGCUAGAUGAGCAGCAGAGCUGGUAUGAGGAAGGGAUGGCUUCUGCUGUGGUGCUGAGAUUGUGGAAGGAGGGAACUGGGAGCAAGAUGUCCUUGCCUGCUUGGCGGGAGAAGUAAGUAAUUUGUCUUACCCAUAAUAUGAAAUUACACGCCUACUGGAUUUGCACUAGGAAUUAAUUUGGUGUGGUCUGUUUUAGUCUAUGUAGUAGCAAUCACUGAAGCCUUAAAGCUGUCCUGAGUCCACUGGUGUGACAGAAGAAACUAGAC
rnacentral:lncRNA from 1 species